GACGAACGCUGGCGGCGUGCUUAACACAUGCCAGUCGAACGGAAAGGCCCUGCUUUUGUGGGGUGCUCGAGUGGCGAACGGGUGAGUAACACGUGAGUAACCUGCCCUUGACUUUGGGAUAACUUCAGGAAACUGGGGCUAAUACCGGAUAGGAGCUCCUGCUGCAUGGUGGGGGUUGGAAAGUUUCGGCGGUUGGGGAUGGACUCGCGGCUUAUCAGCUUGUUGGUGGAGUAGUGGCUUACCAAGGCUUUGACGGGUAGCCGGCCUGAGAGGGUGACCGGCCACAUUGGGACUGAGAGCCGGCCCGGACUCCUACGGGAGGCAGCAGUGCGGAAUAUUGACCAAUGGGCGGAAGCCUGAAGCAGCAACGCCGCGUGCGGGAUGACGGCCUUCGGGUUGUAAACCGCUUUCGCCUGUGACGAGGCGUGAGUGACGGUAAUGGGUAAAGAAGCACCGGCUAACUACGUG
rnacentral:rRNA from 1 species